rnacentral:pre_miRNA from 1 species
UUUUGAGUAAAAUAUGUCCUAUGAAAUAUUUUAGACAUGCUUAUGCUAAAA